rnacentral:piRNA from 1 species
UGGCCCUUGCAUUCAGAAUGGACUGAAGC